CCGGGUAAGAAAAUGCCUGAAAUAGAUGCUGUACCACAUCUUUGUAAGCUUCUCCGGUCCUUGCAGAAGCAACGAGAGCGUGUGGAGGCUGAUAGGCGACUAUGUUAGUGUGUAGUAUCUGGCCCAGGGUAUUUAGCAGCAUCUGUGGCCUCUACCUGCUGCUGCGACUCUCAUCAGACCUUGGGCACAACAGGCUUUGGAAGCCAGACAUUUGGAAGGUCCCCUGAGCUCGGGACCAUUAAAUGCCAAGGAAAUACGGGGAGACACCAUGGCCUCUGCCGCAAAGUCCUUCCGCGGCGCUCAGACACACUCGUGUGCCACGUCAGUUCACGCCAGACUGCCACUGGAAACUAGGAUCUCAAGUCCCGCCAAACCUGACCCGCAGGUUCCUCAGGGGACGCUGAGAGUGGUGGUGAGGGAGGCCAGUGGACUGCUGUCCCUCGGUGCCGCCCAUCAGGGACCCAGCACCUCGACCCCUCGCAGUCCAGCUGGCGCCUCAGCGGCAGCGUUUGGCCCCUGCAGU